rnacentral:rRNA from 1 species
CCUACGGGAGGCAGCAGUGAGGAAUAUUGGACAAUGGGCGCAAGCCUGAUCCAGCCAUGCCGCGUGCAGGAAGAAGCAUCUAUGGUGUGUAAACUGCUUUUGUACAGGAAGAAACACUCCCUCGUGAGGGAGCUUGACGGUACUGUAAGAAUAAGGACCGGCUAACUCCGUGCCAGCAGCCGCGGUAAUACGGAGGGUCCGAGCGUUAUCCGGAAUCAUUGGGUUUAAAGGGUCCGUAGGCGGUUUAAUAAGUCAGUGGUGAAAUCUGGUCGCUCAACGAUCAAACGGCCAUUGAUACUGUUAGACUUGAAUUAUAAGGAAGUAACUAGAAUAUGUAGUGUAGCGGUGAAAUGCUUAGAUAUUACAUGGAAUACCAAUUGCGAAGGCAGGUUACUACUUAUGGAUUGACGCUGAUGGACGAAAGCGUGGGGAGCGAACAGGAUUAGAUACCCUGGUAGUCCACGCCGUAAACGAUGGAUACUAGCUGUUCGGAGCAAUCUGAGUGGCUAAGCGAAAGUGAUAAGUAUCCCACUGGGGAGUACGUUCGCAAGAAUGAAACUCAAAUGAAUUGACGG